CAGUGCCCUAGGCCGCUGUGCCAUCCGGAGCUCAAUAUGAGUGAGAGCUUGGAAACAUGUCAAAAAUCUCAGGUCAAAAACCCUACAGUUCCCAAUACUCCUACGUAGGGAAAUAAGAGCCUGUGAGAAGAGCCCUGUGGCUUUAGGCUAUUCGGUGUGGGAAAUUGUGGGGACCCGGUGUCUAAGUACACGUAGCUAAAAUGUCAUCACAGAUGCACCAUCGAGAGCAUUAUGUCGGGCUGUAUCACCGCCUGGUACGGCAACUGCACCGCCAGCAACCGCAGGGCUCUCCAGAGGGUGGUGCGAUCAGCCCAACACAUCACCGGGGGCACACUGCCUGCACACAAGGACAUCUACAAAGCUGUGACUGAGAUACCUAAAAACAGCUAUCUCCAGGCCAUCAGACUGCUGAACAUUCAUCACUAAUCGGCCUUCCGCCCUGUACCCUGCCCUGCACCUUAAUAUAGUAAUGUUUACAUAAUGUUUAUUGCUCUGAAAUUAUUUCUGUAGUUUUAAACAGAUAAGAUUCUCAUUCCUGCAUCAUUAUCUUGUUGAAAUGUAAUUUGAUCUCUGAAAAUUACGUUAAUUGUUUUCUCAGUUUAUAUGUAAAUACUGUAUUCUUGACAUAGCUCAUCCACAUAACUAUUGCAGUACAUUCCUUUUUCCUACUUGUAUAUUGUCCAUACUGUCUAUAUGUAUUUAUAUUCCGGACUCUGAUAUAGCGCAUUCCGAUA